rnacentral:rRNA from 1 species
UACAGCGGGGGCGAGCGUUGUUCGGAAUUAUUGGGCGUAAAGGGCGCGUAGGCGGCUCGGUAAGCCUGAUGUGAAACCUCCAAGCUCAACUUGGAGCGGCCAUUCGGAACUGCUGUGGCUAGAGUCUGGUAGGGGAACACGGAAUACCUGGUGUAGCGGUGAAAUGCUUAGAUAUCAGGUGGAACACCAGUGGCGAAGGCGGUGUUCUGGGCCAGUACUGACGCUGAGGCGCGAAAGCGUGGGGAGCGAACAGG